UAGGGAAUCUUCCACAAUGGACGCAAGUCUGAUGGAGCAACGCCGCGUGAGUGAAGAAGGUUUUCGGAUCGUAAAGCUCUGUUGUUGGUGAAGAAGGAUAGAGGCAGUAACUGGUCUUUAUUUGACGGUAAUCAACCAGAAAGUCACGGCUAACUACGUGCCAGCAGCCGCGGUAAUACGUAGGUGGCAAGCGUUGUCCGGAUUUAUUGGGCGUAAAGCGAGCGCAGGCGGAAUGAUAAGUCUGAUGUGAAAGCCCAUGGCUCAACCGUGGAACUGCAUCGGAAACUGUCAUUCUUGAGUGCAGAAGAGGAGAGUGGAACUCCAUGUGUAGCGGUGGAAUGCGUAGAUAUAUGGAAGAACACCAGUGGCGAAGGCGGCUCUCUGGUCUGCAACUGACGCUGAGGCUCGAAAGCAUGGGUAGCGAACAGGAUUAGAUACCCUGGUAGUCCAUGCCGUAAACGAUGAGCGCUAGGUG
rnacentral:rRNA from 1 species